rnacentral:tRNA from 1 species
GGAGGUAUGGCUAAAGUGGUACAGCACCUACAUAGCAAGAAUGAGGCCCUGAGUUCAAUUCCUAGUACCACCA